GCGGCAGAGCCUCGUAGCGUGCGGUCGUUCGGGUAGCGGAGGGUGGCGUCGUGUCGCUGGAGUCGUUGAGGACGGUCCUACCAGCGCAAUUCCAAGGUGGUCAUGGUCCACCAGCCCUCCCCGGACGGCUGCGGCUGGCUCCUCGUAGGGUCCUAGAUGGCGUACUUCGAGACCCGGUGGUUGCUCCAGGCGCGGUUUAGGUUAAAGACCACUCCUGUACUAAGUUUAAACCUUCGGAGAGCUCCUACGCACUUCUUCUCGUUGCCGGUCUAGGAGCGGAAGUUGCUCUAACAACUCUUCUUGGGGUGGUGUUAGUUCUUGAAACCAUAGACCGACACAAUGGUUUCGUCCUGACCUAUGGUGUUGUACAUGUUCCUCAUGGCACUGUGGUGGGAGUUACCGCGUCACCUCGUCUACAUGUGCCUCUACCGAAGGGCGGUGGCACAGUCUAGGGGGACGUAGGUCUAGUAGUUCUGUCGGUGACAGGUGAAGUUGUAGACGUUCGCACUAUUGUGAUUCGUCAAAGUGUUCAGCCUGUAGUCCAAGGGCGACCAGAUGGUCUUCCAGUCCGGUGAUUGGUCCUUCGACUUCUGCUGGAAGUUCCGUAGCUACACUAUUGGGUAGGGCAGGUAUUCGACAUUCGGACAGGUAAUACUUCAUAGUAACGAUCAAGUAUAAUUAUCAUAACUAUACGUUGUAAAAUAAGAAGAAUUAAGAUCUAUCGUCAAGGUGCAGCACGGGAAAUACCCUAACUGUUGGGAACAAAUUAGAAACAUUGUAAACACCAAUAUACUGACGGACUAUGCUC
rnacentral:rRNA from 1 species